UCUCGAUUGGUCUAGUGGUCAGGAUACCUGCUUGUCACCGUGGUUAAUAUCUUGUAUAUCAUCCGGAGCAGUUUCGCAGGUGGCCGGGGUUCGAUUCCCCGAUCGAGAG